GGGAGUAUAGCUCAGUUUUAGAGCAUUUGACUACAGAUCGUGAAAUCCCCGGUUCAAUCCCGGUAUCCUCU